AUUGAACGCUGGCGGCAGGCCUAACACAUGCAAGUCGAACGGUAACAGGAAACAGCUUGCUGUUUCGCUGACGAGUGGCGGACGGGUGAGUAAUGUCUGGGAAACUGCCUGAUGGAGGGGGAUAACUACUGGAAACGGUAGCUAAUACCGCAUAACGUCGCAAGACCAAAGAGGGGGACCUUCGGGCCUUUUGCCAUCGGAUGUGCCCAGAUGGGAUUAGCUAGUAGGGGGGGUAACGGCUCACCUAGGCGACGAUCCCUAGCUGGUCUGAGAGGAUGACCAGCCACACUGGAACUGAGACACUGUCCAGACUCCUACGGGAGUCAGCAGUGGGGAAUAUUGCACAAUGGGCGCAAGCCUGAUGCAGCCAUGCCGCGUGUAUGAAGAAGGCCUUCGGGUUGUAAAGUACUUUCAGCGGGGAGGAAGGGAGUAAAGUUAAUACCUUUGCUCAUUGACGUUACCCGAAGAAGAAGCACCGGCUAACUCCGUGCCAGCCGCCGCAGUAA
rnacentral:rRNA from 1 species